rnacentral:lncRNA from 1 species
CCAGGGGAGGAGGUGGUCACGGCUAGUGAGGUCGUACUCCUCGAUGAGGUUGGAGAGGUCUUCAUCGGAGGUGAUGAAGAUCAAGACGUCGAGGUCCUCCAUCGACUGCAAGAGAACUUGUAAGGGCCGGGACAUGAGUGUUGGGGCAGGGAGGGUGGUAGGGGAGGAGGGUGGGGGGGCGGAGCCGAUCAUCAUCACUGCGAAAGAAAGGGUGGCAG